rnacentral:rRNA from 1 species
UUAACCGCAUAGGGGAGCCGGAGGGAAACCGAGUCUUAAUUGGGCGUUAAGUUGCAGGGUAUAGACCCGAAACCCGGUGAUCUAGCCAUGGGCAGGUUGAAGGUUGGGUAACACUAACUGGAGGACCGAACCGACUAAUGUUGAAAAAUUAGCGGAUGACCUGUGGCUGGGGGUGAAAGGCCAAUCAAACCGGGAGAUAGCUGGUUCUCCCCGAAAGCUAUUUAGGUAGCGCCUCGUGAAUUCAUCUCCGGGGGUAGAGCACUGUUUCGGCUAGGGGGCCAUCCCGGCUUACCAACCCGAUGCAAACUGCGAAUACCGGAGAAUGUUAUCACGGGAGACACACGGCGGGUGCUAACGUCCGUCGUGAAGAGGGAAACAACCCAGACCGCCAGCUAAGGUCCCAAAGUCACAGUUAAGUGGGAAACGAUGUGGGAAGGCUCAGACAGCCAGGAUGUUGGCUUAGAAGCAGCCAUCAUUUAAAGAAAGCGUAAUAGCUCACUGGUCGAGUCGGCCUGCGCGGAAGAUGUAACGGGGCUAAACCAUGCACCGAAGCUGCGGCAGCGACGCUGAUGCGUUGUUGGGUAGGGGAGCGUUCUGUAAGCCUGUGAAGGUGGCCUGUGAGGGUUGCUGGAGGUAUCAGAAGUGCGAAUGCUGACAUAAGUAACGAUAAAGCGGGUGAAAAGCCCGCUCGCCGGAAGACCAAGGGUUCCUGUCCAACGUUAAUCGGGGCAGGGUGAGUCGACCCCUAAGGCGAGGCCGAAAGGCGUAGUCGAUGGGAAACGGGUUAAUAUUCCCGUACUUGGUGUUACUGCGAAGGGGGGACGGAGAAGGCUAUGUUGGCCGGGCGACGGUUGUCCCGGUUUAAGCGUGUAGGCUGGUUUUCCAGGCAAAUCCGGAAAAUCAAGGCUGAGGCGUGAUGACGAGGC